rnacentral:lncRNA from 1 species
AAAAAGAUGCGUUUCCCGAACGUGGGUACUUAGCAAUACCUAGUAACUAAUGAUUUUUUGGGAAAUUAAAUAAGAUCAAAUUAUAAGCAAUGAACAUUUCAGAUGUCGAUUUAACACAGUUCCAAUGGAAACUGCUUGCCUGUUAUCUUUAGUUCGUGGGGGAAGCACUGUAGAAGUUUAGAAAUGGCUAGAGACAUCCCCAGAUUCCCAAGCAGAAUGAAAACUUCCUUUCCGGAAAACACAAAAUGUUCUCCCACAUCACACCCCGCCUGCAUUUAUCAAAAAAGAAAACACCUGAUGCUGGCUGUGUGCUGUUGGAACCAGAAACUUUUUAGCAUAUUAUAGUCGAGUGCCAGUGACUUCUUUGUUCUUUCAGAGGCAUUCUAAAAAGCGGCGUGUUUCACGAAUCUCAGAGACAACAACUUUCACAACUAUCAACUGUCACCUCCCAAACUGCCACAGAACCUUUUAAGUCCAACAUUCUGUCAUUUGUGGGAAAUACUCAUCUUCUAAAACACACUCUACUUAUUCUUUGAAUAGUAGUUGCAAAGCUAGUCAUCUCUCAGGAAGCACUUUCUAUUUCCAAAACUUUGGUUUCAUCAGUACCUGGAGCAAAGCUUCUGGCAGAAACACAAAUCCUCAUCAGGGGAGAGGCACAGGAUCAACUCACGGUUAUAAACUGGACUCCUGCUCUGACGGGUAGCAGCCAUCAACUUUGCCCGAUUCUCAUAAUUCUGAAGGGUCACCAAGGAGUUGCUACCAGCCACUGUACUUAAAGUGGUGUCACAGGAUUACAAAAUAGAAGAAAGUCUUUCUUCUCUGACUAAUAUACCAGAAUGAAAUUCACAACAGUAAAGAAUAGAACUGAAGAGAAUAAGGAAAAGAAAAAAGGGGCUGAGGGAGAAGGAAAAGAAAAGAGAGUUUAAAAAGGUAGAGAAGGUAAGACUCCAGGCAUUCUAAACACUACCAAAAUGUACAGAUCUAUUUUAUGUGCUCUGCAAUGACA